CCAAUUUGAUCAGUUUGGGGGGUGGAUGCUCUAGAGGCUUCUGUUUGUAGUUGUUGUGUUUUGUUCGUUCCUUGAUCAAACAAAUGAGGAAGAUAACGUGAUCGGAAAGUCAAAUUUUUAAAGGAACAAUGUAUUUUUUCAUGAGCCAUGCACCAACCCACCAUGUGCUCAAUUUUUUUUCCUUUUCUUUAUUAUGAUAUAUAUAUAUAUAUAUAUAUAUAUAUAUAUAUAUAUAUAUAUAUACAGCAAGGUUCCAAAGAGGACGUCCUUGCUAUACAUAAUCUGCGGAUGGGUCAAUCUCUGUCGUCCAUUUCUUUAAAUGAAAAGCAACGGCUUGGAUCGAUCUCUUCCCAAAAACCCAUCGCUCGUCGAAGUAGAAAACCAAAGUUGGACUGUAGACUCUCCACUUUGGUUGCAUCGAAGGCUCUGGUUCUCUUUCUCCACCCAAAAUCCAAAACUUCUCAACUCCAAAUACCAUAAACUCAUCUCAGGUUGCAACAAUCGUGCAACCGAAGCUUUCUUUUUUUCUUUUCUCUCAUGAAAAUUGUAGCUCUCUUAUGGUCCCGACAUCCCUUGGAGUUUUCGCGCCAAAAGUUGGAGACUUGGAAGCAGAGAAACACAUCUAGAUUUCAAAUAAAUGGAGUCAGAGGAUGAUCAAGUUUAUAUUCCUCAAGUAAAGGCAGAGUUGUUCAUCAUCUCAUUUAGCAGAAUAAUGUCUCAAACAUAUCAGUUCACUACCAGAAAACAUGCUCUCUAAGGGGGCUCAGCUGAGAAAGCACAUUGAUGCAACACUAGGCAGUGGGAACCUAAGAGAAUCAGUAAAGCUUCCAACUGGAGAAGAUUUAAAUGAGUGGCUUGCUGUCAACACAGCAAAUGGGAAGAGAAACUGAUGUUUGAGUGGGAGGAGAGUAGUAAUCAAGAUCUGAUUAAGCAGGAGAUUAUUGUUUGUUUAAAGAAGUUAUACCUCCAGCAGAAGUGUUGCCUUCAUGAUGCAUUUUUAAUGGCUAGAUAUAUUUCAAACAAUUUUAUAGACGUUUAGUGGUCAAUAAGUAGUGGAAAAGGUCAGAGGUGAGUAGGAAAAUUAUGGAAAGUUGACUGACUUGCUGUCAAUGCUGACGUGUUUGUUUAUACAAUUAUUCAUAACUACUGUGAAAGGCAAAAGGUGCUCAAUUGUAAUACAUAAGAUGCAGCAAAAUGAAGCAUCAAGGUCCUCCCAUUUGCCUACUCAAAAUCCAUUUGAUAUUUGUCAGCAAAUCUUCAUGCUUUUUUCAGUGAAAUUGUGAAAUAGUAAUUUUUUCUUCCAAAGUUCUUUUUAUCUGUUGGCUUAGAGACUACUUUGUUGAUUGAUCAAUGUUCCUUCUAUGCCUGACUGUGCACUUAAGUCCAACUUCUAGUUUUAUCAACUUUCUUUGUUUUUAUUUGUACCAUGACAGCUUCUGGAUUUUGUGGUCUGUUUGAUUCUGCAGGUUUUGGAAGACAUUUUGGAUCAUUUCAAGAUUAUAUGGUAGAGUGAGGAUCAUAGUCAAUUCAUUAUGUAAUGGUUUCAAUUGUGGAUACUCAAUUGUUGUUGAUUUGUAAUGAUUCCAGAAAAUGAGGAGUGGAAUGACUUAAUAUGCAAUGUUAGACUCAAAAUGUUCCAAUCUGGAGCAAAAUGACUUAA